UACGUAGGGUGCGAGCGUUAAUCGGAAUUACUGGGCGUAAAGCGUGCGCAGGCGGCUUGCUAAGACAGGUGUGAAAGCCCCGAGCUUAACUUGGGAAUGGCGCUUGUGACUGGCAGGCUGGAGUGUGGCAGAGGGAGGUGGAAUUCCACGUGUAGCAGUGAAAUGCGUAGAGAUGUGGAGGAACACCGAUGGCGAAGGCAGCCUCGGGGGCCAACACUGACGCUCAGGCACGAAAGCGUGGGGAGCAAACAGG
rnacentral:rRNA from 1 species